AUUGAACGCUGGCGGCAGGCCUAACACAUGCAAGUCGAGCGAGCGGCGGACGGGUGAGUAAUGUCUGGGAAACUGCCUGAUGGAGGGGGAUAACUACUGGAAACGGUAGCUAAUACCGCAUACCAUCAGAUGUGCCAAGAUGGGAUUAGCUAGUAGGUGGGGUAACGGCUCACCUAGGCGACGAUCCCUAGCUGGUCUGAGAGGAUGACCAGGCACACUGAAACUGAGACACGGUCCAGACGCCUACGGGAGGCAGCAGUGGGGAAUAUUGCACAAUGGGAGCGAUCCUGAUGCAGCCAUGCCGCGUGUGUGAAGAAGGCCUUCUUGUUGUAAAGCUCUUUCAGCGGGGAGGCGUUACCCGCAGAAUAAGCACCGGCUAACUCCGUGCCAGCAGCCGCGGUAAUUC
rnacentral:rRNA from 1 species